rnacentral:rRNA from 1 species
AACGAACGCUGGCGGCAUGCCUAACACAUGCAAGUCGAACGAUACCUUCGGGUCUAGUGGCGCACGGGUGCGUAACGCGUGGGAACCUGCCCUUAGGUUCGGAAUAACUCCCCGAAAGGGGUGCUAAUACCGGAUAAUGUCUUCGGACCAAAGAUUUAUCGCCUUUGGAUGGGCCCGCGUUGGAUUAGCUAGUUGGUAGGGUAAAAGCCUACCAAGGCUACGAUCCAUAGCUGGUCUGAGAGGAUGAUCAGCCACACUGGGACUGAGACACGGCCCAGACUCCUACGGGAGGCAGCAGUGGGGACUAUUGGACAAUGGGCGAAAGCCUGAUCCAGCAAUGCCGCGUGAGUGAUGAAGGCCUUAGGGUUGUAAAGCUCUUUUACCCGGGAUGAUAAUGACAGUACCGGGAGAAUAAGCUCCGGCUAACCCCGUG